AGGGUUUGAUCCUGGCUCAGGAUGAACGCUAGCGGCAGGCCUAACACAUGCAAGUCGAGGGGUAACAUGAGUGCUUGCACUUGAUGACGACCGGCGCACGGGUGCGUAACGCGUAUACAAUCUACCUUGUACUGAGGGAUAGCCCAGAGAAAUUUGGAUUAAUACCUCAUAGUAUGUAGAAACGGCAUCGUUUUUAUAUUAAAGGUUACGGUACAAGAUGAGUAUGCGUCCUAUUAGUUAGUUGGUGUGGUAACGGCACACCAAGACUACGAUAGGUAGGGGCCCUGAGAGGGGGACCCCCCACACUGGUACUGAGACACGGACCAGACUCCUACGGGAGGCAGCAGUGAGGAAUAUUGGACAAUGGGCGAGAGCCUGAUCCAGCCAUGCCGCGUGCAGGAAGACUGCCCUAUGGGUUGUAAACUGCUUUUAUACAGGAAGAAACACUCUCUCGUGAGGGAGCUUGACGGUACUGUAAGAAUAAGGAUCGGCUAACUCCGUGCCAGCAGCCGCGGUAAUACGGAGGAUCCAAGCGUUAUCCGGAAUCAUUGGGUUUAAAGGGUCCGUAGGCGGGCAAUUAAGUCAGAGGUGAAAGUUUGCGGCUCAACCGUAAAAUUGCCUUUGAAACUGGUUGUCUUGAAUUAUUAUGAAGUGGUUAGAAUAAGUAGUGUAGCGGUGAAAUGCAUAGAUAUUACUUAGAAUACCAAUUGCGAAGGCAGAUCACUAAUAAUAUAUUGACGCUGAUGGACGAAAGCGUGGGGAGCGAACAGGAUUAGAUACCCUGGUAGUCCACGCCGUAAACGAUGGAUACUAGCUGUUCGAUCUUCGGAUUGAGUGGCUAAGCGAAAGUGAUAAGUAUCCCACCUGGGGAGUAC
rnacentral:rRNA from 1 species